CAUGAGAAAUAGAAAUAUGUACAUAUGUGUCAAAGUAAGCUGCCAAACAAAACGAUAAUUGGCAGAGUUUGGUGAAAUUUUUAGGUAAAGUACCCGCAAGGAAACGCAUAUUUGCAAUCAAAAGCAAAAAGCAAUCAGUGUGCCUAGUAUUGCUGGAAGAUUGGUGGCCAAAUGUAGUUUCUUCAGCUUCAAUGUGUACAUAUUUAAAGGCUUUUGGCAGGGUCACGUGAUGGCGAAAUUCGUGGCAUCUUUAUUUAAUGUAACCACAAACGCUGGAGACGUACAUAUAUAUGUGCAUGUUACGAAGAACAUUUGCGGGUAUACAAAACAAGGGGCAGUGUCUACUGUGUAAAC